UCCCGAGAACCAUCAAUAUCGUUCACCGUCUCGGAAUCGAACCAACCCCGAGAAUCGAAACGGCAAGCAAUAAGUUUUCCAGAAGCUCACCUUCAAUCACUCUUUGUUGCCUCUGCGGCUCUCUACUCCACCCACCCAUUCACGAUUCACGAAGACGCACGGCGACGACGGUGAAAUAUUUCGAAUGUGAAGUGAAGUUGACUCCUCGAAAGUUAGCGCGAGUGUCCUCCUCCUCCUGCAAAACCUUUUGCAAAACCGUGUGAAUCACUCUGAAAUGAUAAAGCGAAGCACUUUCACAGCUUUUCUUCCACCAUCAGCAUCAUCAGCCAACAACGGCAGAGAAUGGGAAGAAUCACUUCGGUCAUAAAAGUUUGUUUCUUUUACAGCUUUCAUGAACCCCAUGAGCUCCGCGCAUUUUUCCGAGGAAAACCAACGAAAGCAAACAUAAAUAGCUGCCGCGUAUCAAGCAGGAGAUCCGGUUAGAGACGACGAAGAAAAAAAAAAGAGUAAAGUAACGUUCCGUUCAAGUUUUUCGGCAGCUAUAAAAUACCUACUCAUAGGACGUAGAGCUGAGACUAAGGUUGCUUGCGGUUUCGUUUCGGAUACGGAAAGGUGUGUGUUUUGUUGUUUAUUUCUGUGUGGCAUUUUUCUCUGGCUCGGAGAAGAAGAAAACGUGGAAAAUUCACAUACCCACACUUACACAAACAGCUACAAACCAUUCGAAUCCGAAUAGUUGUUGGUGGUCAAUGGCUGGGAAUGACCGCCAAUUACCAACUAAAGUCAACCGGAAGUGCGCGAUGAUUGAUUGAGAAGAAAACUUCGGAGGCCGGUGUCGUUGAACACGUGCGUCUCCACUGUGGGUAGCUAGAAGCGAGAAGACCUUUGCCAAAAUAUAGUGAAUCAGUGUGUUUAGUGUCUACCGUAAGUGAGAAAGUGAAAAAAAUAAUACCAAAGAAAUUGAAGCUCUGAACCGAGAAGAUAGAUCGUUUACUAUUCUUAGUUGGGUUUUGCUGAAAUCAGGACCAAAGCGUAGAUAAUUUGUUAAGGAAAUUGCCGGUGGUUGGAUUUGUGUGAAUGGGUAAAUUCAACGAUUCCAUCGAUCAUGACACAAAUAGCUGCCCGAAUUAUGUGGAUUAAAUAGCUGGUAGCACUAAUUUAUUCCUGCAACAUAUUAUACGGAAAAUUCGACAGGCGCAAUCUGAUUGGAGCCGCCGCCGACGACGACUGGUUCUCGACUUAAUCCCUUCUUCAUAUUCUUCGGGGCCAUAACAACGGUCGGUCUGGAGAAGGAGUCAAACAGGAGAGAAGUAUAGAUAUCCAGUAAACGGAAUUGGGUGGUGAAAAACCCAUAAGGAAGAAGUGAUCCCGUUUGGUGGCGAACCCUUUUGGCGGAGUGGUUUGAGGGAAGAGGGGUUAUUUUUUCCGCUUAAAAUGUAAAGUGAAAAGUGAUUUCCUUUGAAGGUUAUUCUUGUGUUGUAGAAGGAAAGUGCCAGAAAAUUGGGGCUAAGGCUCGAGCAGCUUCGACAACGACGAGAAAGGUGUAAACAAGUGUGAGCUAAAAGAAGCUAAUAUUCGUUAUCUUUAGUUUGCGGUCGGUGGAAAUUGAGAAAGAAAGCUGUGGAAAAGUUUUUCCUUUCCUGUUUGAGAAUAGCGCAAAUCUGCCGAAAAAAGUGAAGAGAAGCUAAUCAAAUAUUUAUAAAACCACUCUGUGAAAAUAUUUCUUCGGAGCUCUCGGGGCAUUUGAGGAGGUUUUUUUU